AGAGUUUGAUCCUGGCUCAGGAUGAACGCUAGCUACAGGCUUAACACAUGCAAGUCGAGGGGCAGCAUGAACUUAGCUUGCUAAGUUUGAUGGCGACCGGCGCACGGGUGAGUAACACGUAUCCAACCUGCCGAUGACUCGGGGAUAGCCUUUCGAAAGAAAGAUUAAUACCCGAUGGCAUAGUUCUUCCGCAUGGUAGAACUAUUAAAGAAUUUCGGUCAUCGAUGGGGAUGCGUUCCAUUAGGUUGUUGGCGGGGUAACGGCCCACCAAGCCUUCGAUGGAUAGGGGUUCUGAGAGGAAGGUCCCCCACAUUGGAACUGAGACACGGUCCAAACUCCUACGGGAGGCAGCAGUGAGGAAUAUUGGUCAAUGGGCGAGAGCCUGAACCAGCCAAGUAGCGUGAAGGAUGAAGGUCCUACGGAUUGUAAACUUCUUUUAUACGGGAAUAAAGUUUCCUACGUGUAGGAUUUUGUAUGUACCGUAUGAAUAAGCAUCGGCUAACUCCGUGCCAGCAGCCGCGGUAAUACGGAGGAUGCGAGCGUUAUCCGGAUUUAUUGGGUUUAAAGGGAGCGCAGACGGGAGAUUAAGUCAGUUGUGAAAGUUUGCGGCUCAACCGUAAAAUUGCAGUUGAUACUGGAUGUCUUGAGUGCAGUUGAGGCAGGCGGAAUUCGUGGUGUAGCGGUGAAAUGCUUAGAUAUCACGAAGAACCCCGAUUGCGAAGGCAGCUUGCUAAACUGUAACUGACGUUCAUGCUCGAAAGUGUGGGUAUCAAACAGGAUUAGAUACCCUGGUAGUCCACACG
rnacentral:rRNA from 1 species